rnacentral:tRNA from 1 species
GAGGAGGACCCCCUAAUUAGAACUGCUAACUCAAAUUACCGAAGUUAAACUCUUCGGCCCCCUCU